ensembl:snRNA U6 U6 spliceosomal RNA
GUGCUCGCUUUGGCCACACAUGUACUAAAACUGAAACAAUACAGAAAAGAUUAGCAGGCCCCCAUGCAAGGACGACAAGUGAAUUCGUGAGGUGUUCCAUGUUUUA